rnacentral:rRNA from 1 species
GUGGGGAAUCUUGGACAAUGGGCGCAAGCCUGAUCCAGCCAUGCCGCGUGAGUGAAGAAGGCCUUCGGGUUGUAAAGCUCUUUUACCAGGGACGAUAAUGACGGUACCUGGAGAAUAAGCCCCGGCAAACUUCGUGCCAGCAGCCGCGGUAAUACGAAGGGGGCUAGCGUUGUUCGGAAUUACUGGGCGUAAAGCGCACGUAGGCGGGUCGUUAAGUCAGGGGUGAAAUCCCAGAGCUCAACUCUGGAACUGCCUUUGAUACUGGCGACCUAGAGUCCGGAAGAGGUUAGUGGAAUUCCCAGUGUAGAGGUGAAAUUCGUAGAUAUUGGGAAGAACACCAGUGGCGAAGGCGGCUAACUGGUCCGGUACUGACGCUGAGGUGCGAAAGCGUGGGGAGCAAACAGGAUUAGAAACCCCAGUAGUCC